GCUUGCUUUGGCAGCGCAUAAAACAAAAUUGCCCUGAUAGAGAAGAUUAGCAUGGCCCCUGUGCAAGGACGACAUGUACAUUCCUGAAGCAUUCUUUAUUAUU